rnacentral:rRNA from 1 species
GUCCUUAGUUACCAGCACGUUAUGGUGGGCACUCUAAGGAGACUGCCGGUGACAACCGGAGGAAGGUGGGGAUGACGUCAAGUCAUCAUGGCCCUUACGGCCUGGGCUACACACGUGCUACAAUGGUCGGUACAAAGGGUUGCCAAGCCGCGAGGUAGAGCUAAUCCCAUAAAACCGAUCGUAGUCCGGAUCGCAGUCUGCAACUCGACUGCGUGAAGUCGGAAUCGCUAGUAAUCGUGAAUCAGAAUGUCACGGUGAAUACGUUCCCGGGCCUU